GUCGAGAGGCUUCGGCAAUGGGGGAAACCCUGACCGAGCGACGCCGCGUGAGGGAUGAAGCCCUUCGGGGCGUAAACCUCUUUUCUGGGGGAAGAACCGCAUGGGGGCGAUAAGGUCCCAUGCCUGACGGUACCCCAGGAAUAAGCUCCGGCUAACUCCGUGCCAGCAGCCGCGGUAAUACGGGGGGAGCAAACGUUGUUCGGAAUCACUGGGCGUAAAGGGCGCGCAGGUGGCCCGGUAAGUGGUGUGUGAAAUCCCCUGGCUCAACCAGGGAAAUGCGCUCCAAACUGCCGGGCUUGAGGGCAGUAGAGGAAACUGGAAUUCCUGGUGUAGCGGUGAAAUGCGUAGAUAUCAGGAGGAACACCGUUGGCGAAGGCGAGUUUCUGGGCUGUCCCUGACACUGAGGCGCGAAAGCUGGGGGAGCAAACAGGAUUAGAAACCCGUGUAGUCC
rnacentral:rRNA from 1 species